rnacentral:rRNA from 1 species
CCUACGGGAGACAGCAGUGAGGAAUAGUGGUCAAUGGACGAGAGUCUGAACCAGCCAAGUAGCGUGAAGGAUGACUGCCCUAUGGGUUGUAAACUUCGUUUAUAUGGGAAUAAAAUGUUCCACGUGUGGGAUUUUGUAUGUACCAUAUGAAUAAGGAUCGGCUAACGCCGUGCCAGCAGCCGCGGUAAUACGGAGGAUCCGAGCGUUAUCCGGAUUUAUUGGGUUUAACGGGAGCGUAGGGGGCUUGUUAAGUCAGUUGUGAAAGUUGGCGGCUCCACCGUAAAAUUGCAGUUGAAACUGGCAGUCUUUAGUACAGUAGAGGUGGGCGGACUUCGUGGUGUAGCGG